ACGCUCGACACCUACGGGAGGCAGCAGUGGGGAAUAUUGCACAAUGGGGGAAACCCGUGAUGCAGCGACGCCGCGUGAAGGAAGAAGUAUUUCGGUAUGUAAACUUCUAUCAGCAGGGAAGAAAAUGACGGUACCUGACUAAGAAGCCCGGCUAACUACGUGUCAGCAGCCGCGGUAAUCUGAGCGGGCGUGGCAAGGC
rnacentral:rRNA from 1 species